rnacentral:rRNA from 1 species
AUUGAACGCUGGCGGCAUGCCUUACACAUGCAAGUCGAACGGUAACAGGUCUUCGGAUGCUGACGAGUGGCGAACGGGUGAGUAAUACAUCGGAACGUGCCCGAUCGUGGGGGAUAACGGAGCGAAAGCUUUGCUAAUACCGCAUACGAUCUACGGAUGAAAGCGGGGGAUCUUCGGACCUCGCGCGGACGGAGCGGCCGAUGGCAGAUUAGGUAGUUGGUGGGAUAAAAGCUUACCAAGCCGACGAUCUGUAGCUGGUCUGAGAGGAUGAUCAGCCACACUGGGACUGAGACACGGCCCAGACUCCUACGGGAGGCAGCAGUGGGGAAUUUUGGACAAUGGGCGCAAGCCUGAUCCAGCCAUGCCGCGUGAGUGAAGAAGGCC